CCAUAGCAACCUGCCGUGCUGCGGGCCACGCCGCAGAGCCAGCCUGCCCUGCCGCGCACCCGCUGUCCCCGGCCAGGCCCAGGACCUCCGCAGCUUCUAUUCUGGUCUGCAGUCAAGAUUUCACCUUGGCAAAUGAGGCCGUAAGCAUGCAGGUGUGGGUGCCGGCCCUGGCGUGUGUAGAUCCAGGAUGCAGUCGAAGCGGCUCACCACUGAGCCUCCAUGUAUAACAGAAGACGUGUUCGAAGAAUUCUUAGCCACAGAUGAUAUGCUUGUGGACUACUUUAACGAGUUUUUGAGUCUUCCGACUUUUGCCCAGCCGGUUAAAUUUAACUCUGACUUUGGGGUUUUUGAAGUAGUUAACGAUGCCACACAACGCCUGGAGAGCCAGCUGAAAAAUAUUCUACAUGAUCAGAAACCUCCAAAACCCAUUUAUGAUGUUCUAAGGAAAGCAGAGAAUGAUGGGCAGCUCUCCAAAAUGUGCAGUGCUUCUCCAGCCUUCAAUAUGGAUCCAAAUUACAACACUAUGUGUCUUGAUCGAGAACAAGCAAUUCAGUGGAUUAAGAAAGAAAGGCUUCCAGCAUUUCUAGAAAGCGACUGUUACUUUGAAUACAGGCUUGCUAAACUGAUAUCACAGGUAGAAUGGAGCAAGACUGGCAUUAAUUUCAUUAUCGAUAGUGACUACUAUCCCUGGAUAAGGAAGCAAAAGCCAAGUUCUCCCCCUCCUGAGGAGGAUGACACUUCUUUGACUAUGAAGAAGCUGCACGUGUCUCUUGGACAGGCUACAGUUUCUCAGACAAAGGAUUGGUUUACAUUAGCAAAACGAAGUGAAUCUGUGAAAACUACAGAUUCAUUUGUGCAUCCUGUAGCUUCUAGUGAAAUUCAAGAUAUGCAGUAUUUGCCUGAGCAGCAUGAAAGAGACGAUUCAUUAAGUGAGAAAUACAGCCUUCUGGAAGCAGGUUCCCUGUCUAAGGAAUGCCACCAACAGAGUUUCCUUUCCUCUUCAAGGACAGCAUCAGCAAAAGCCGACAUUACCAGGGAGAGAUCCAGAGAGGCUGAGGAGGAUUCUUCUGUGUCCAUUGCUGAAACUCCUUCCCACACUCAGCUAAGAGUUUAUCUAGACCCCAAAUGGGACAGUGCAGUACAAGAAGAAAAUGAACAGGAAAGCGCAACUUUUCAGACACCAGAAGAAUUAAUACCGAUUUAUACUCCAUUUGUAAUAAAGGAACCCAUUUCAGAACUGAUCCGUCAGGCAGCUGCUGACACUAAGAGUGAGGUGGAUUUCCAAAAACAGCCUGAAGAGUGUAUACAUGAGUUAGCAAAUAAUGAGUUUGCUCCUGGUACUGCAAAGUCACCCUUUUCUCAGAGUUCUUCUCCAUUGACUGCCUUGGAUUCCGAGGGAGAUGUAAGGGAACGAAAUACUGAAGAAGUAAGCUUAAGAUCAAGCUCUGAAAGUGAUGGGGCAGACAGUAGGGCUGCCUGGUGUAUUAGUCACAGGACUUAUGACACUGGCAACAGACAUGAGUUUGAAAGAUUCAAGAAGUUCGUUAAAGGAACACUUGGGGAGAGAUACUGGUGGCUCUGGAUGGAUAUUGAAAGACUAAAAGCUCUCAAGAACACUACAAGGCAGCAAAGGCAACUCAGUAAGAUGAAAAAACUCUAUCUGCUGAGCAGUGGAGACUAUUUCCUCAGUUCAGAAGUGUUACUCAGACUUGAUCUGCUGCAUGGUGAUCAGUGGAAUAUAAGGCAUUUAAGACGGAUUCAGCCUGAAGUAGUGAAACCUCUACUUCUUUACUGGGGUCCCAGAUUUUGUGUCACUCAUUCAACAGCAAUAGAAACUGCCAGUGCAAAACUGAAGCUCUGGCACAAAUGCCACGAGAGACCAAGGGUUGAUAUUGAUCCUUUUCCACAAAUGGUAUCAUUGCUACCAUUGACACCUAAGUCUUGCAUACCUAGGAUACCACCUUCCUUUCCUCAGAGAAGUAGAACAAGCUCACCAACAACUUUAUCAAAACCAGCUACACCAGAUUUCUUUUUGAAUAAACCAUUAUCACCUACCUUGCCAUCAAGUCAGAGCCCCCUUCCUAGGAGUAGGAAGUGGCCGAAGUCAGCGAGCAGAGACACGAUUCAUUGCUUAGCUUUGGAUGACAGUGAAGACUCAAGAUACCAGCUUUAUAGAAAGUACACCUAUGCUGAGCUGCUCCCGGGGAAAAGAGCUGCUGGCAGUGUUGUCUUAGGGGGUUCAAGAAUGGAAAGCAUGCUGCAGUCUCUUUAUUUGGAGAACAGAGCAGGCUACUACUUCACACGUUUCUGUGAGAAGUCGGGGAAUAAGUUGUGGAAGAACAGCGCGUACUUUUGGUUUGACCUACACGCUUAUCAUCAGCUUUUCUACCAAGAAACUCUUCAUCCUUUUAAAAUAUGUGAGCAGGCUCAAUUUCUUUAUGCAACUUACAUUGCUCCAUCUGCCAGUAUGGACAUUGGACUUCAUCAGAGCAAGAAAAACACGAUUUAUCAGAAAAUUGACCCAGCUUUUGAGGAUCUAUUUGACCCAGCAGAAGAAUAUAUCCUCACUGUUCUGCUAGAACCGUGGAUGAAGAUGGUGGAAGCAGACAAAUACACUUAUGGAAAGGUGGAGUUGGUGGACGAAACUCAGCAGCUGGAUUCCUUGUACUUUAGAGAGCUCCAGGCUUUGCAUCAAGAGAGUGGUUCCAAGAAGGAUGAGAAUAUUGUUGCUGACACUGUUUUGCCAUCCUGCUCUGAUUCUCUCAAAGAAGAUCAGCCAUUGCGUCAAGUUCCCGAAGAAUCCGCAGGUCCUAAUCUAUCUGACCUGAUCCAUGACAAAGAGAAGUUAGAACAGUUCUGGGCUUUUCUUAAUGAGCAUUCUGCUGGCAUGGAUCUCAUGUGCUGGCUAGAUAUUGAACAGUUCAGAAAGAUGCUCCACAAGGACAAAGAGAAAAGGGAGGAAAAAUCUAAGGACAUUAAAAACAAGUACUUAAACAAAAAAUACUUCUUUGGACCCAACAGCCCAGCUACUAAAGAACAACAAGAACAGCUAAUACGUUCAGGUGGAGGAUGGGGACAAAUCCUUCACGAUCGACUUUCGGCAGCAGUUCUGCUAGAAAUUCAGCAAUGCGUCCAGAAGAGAUUAGAAAAACAAUGGCUGCCAUUGUUCCUUGCAGAUGAGCACCAUGGGGCGGAGGGACAAGCAAAGAUAAGGGACACAACUGAGGAUCUUCCACGCCAAAAACAGGAGAAGACAACUAGGAUGUGGAAGCAUGUGGACAAUAAGUGGGUUUCUUCAUCUGGUGAAAUAAUUGCUUUCCGCAAAGCGUUGUUGAAUCCAGUGACAGCAAAUGAGUUUCAGCGCUUCGUGUCACUGAAAGGAGACCUACUGGAGAACGGAGUGCUCUUUUGGCAAGAGGUACAGAAGUAUAAGGACUUGUGCCAUUCUCAUUGUGAUGAUGCCACAGUCCAGAAAAAGAUCACAGCUAUUAUCGACUGCUUUAUUAAUUCUGCCAUACCCCCAGCUUUGCAGAUUGACAUCCCAGCUGAACAAGCAAAGAAGAUUUUGGAGCACAGGAAAGAACUAGGACCUUACAUUUUUAGGGAGGCACAGAUGACUAUUUUUGCUCUCCUGUUUAAAUUUUGGCCCAAAUUUUGUAAGUUUCGAAGCAAUUUGGCUGGUGACAACAUUCUACUUGCCUUGGAGAGAAAAAAGGGAAAAAAGAUGCAAAAGAAGGCAGGCAAAACAGAAGAGGAACGGCUCACAAAGUUUCAGGGUAAAGAAGUGGGGACAAAACUCACCGGUGCUUUGGUAGGUGAGUUUGGUGUGGAGAGAGGAGCAGCAUCAUUUUCAGAUGGAUAUGGACAGCAGGAUUCCUGGUCCUAUUCCAAAUACUUAGAAGCCUUGGCGCAGGAGAGAGUACUCCUUAAAAUGCAAGAAGAUCUGGAGGAAACCUCAUCGUCAUUCCUUACAGGUUCUUCAUCUCUGUCCUUUGGAAAAUCCAAAAAAUCCAUCAUUUCUCCCAAGAGCAGUGUGAUUUUGGAGAAACGCUAAAAUCUUGCUAAGAAACAGAAAGCAGAUUAAAAUCUCUCUGAGGAAGGGAAUGCAGAGACAUAUAAUGGAAGUGGGCAGGAGACACAGAGAUAACGUACAUGCAAGCUCACUCCUCUCAGAGGAGCACCCGGAGCCAAGAGCUGCCCAGAGCAAGGAUGGGGCCAAAUGUGGCGCCUCCUGUUUGAAGGAGGCUUCCCCACUUCACAGCCACUGUUUUACACCCACAGGUAAGUUGGUCUGUCAUUUUCUGUGAGAAUUAAUUCCUUGAAUGACAUUAUAGCUGUAUGAACAGUAGCAGUUGGC